ACGGGCUUAACACAUGCAAGUCGAGGGGAAACGACAUCGAAAGCUUGCUUUUGAUGGGCGUCGACCGGCGCACGGGUGAGUAACGCGUAUCCAACCUGCCCACCACUUGGGGAUAACCUUGCGAAAGUAAGACUAAUACCCAAUGACGUCUCUAGAGGACAUCUGAAAGGGAUUAAAGAUUUAUCGGUGAUGGAUGGGGAUGCGUCUGAUUAGCUUGUUGGCGGGGUAACGGCCCACCAAGGCGACGACCAGUAGGGGUUCUGAGAGGAAGGUCCCCCACAUUGGAACUGAGACACGGUCCAAACUCCUACGGGAGGCAGCAGUGAGGAAUAUUGGUCAAUGGACGAGAGUCUGAACCAGCCAAGUAGCGUGCAGGAUGACGGCCCUAUGGGUUGUAAACUGCUUUUAUAAGGGAAUAAAGUGAGUCUCGUGAGACUUUUUGCAUGUACCUUAUGAAUAAGGACCGGCUAAUUCCGUGCCAGCAGCCGCGGUAAUACGGAAGGUCCGGGCGUUAUCCGGAUUUAUUGGGUUUAAAGGGAGCGUAGGCCGGAGAUUAAGCGUGUUGUGAAAUGUAGAUGCUCAACAUCUGCACUGCAGCGCGAACUGGUUUCCUUGAGUACGCACAAAGUGGGCGGAAUUCGUGGUGUAGCGGUGAAAUGCUUAGAUAUCACGAAGAACUCCGAUUGCGAAGGCAGCUCACUGGAGCGCAACUGACGCUGAAGCUCGAAAGUGCGGGUAUCGAACAGGAUUAGAUACCCUGGUAGUCCACGCGGUAACCGAUGGAUGCUCGCUGUUUGCGUCUGACGUAAGCGGCCAAGCGAAAGCGUUAAGCAUCCCA
rnacentral:rRNA from 1 species